UACGUAGGGUGCGAGCGUUGUCCGGAAUUACUGGGCGUAAAGAGCUCGUAGGUGGUUUGUCGCGUUGUUCGUGAAAUCUCACGGCUUAACUGUGAGCGUGCGGGCGAUACGGGCAGACUAGAGUACUGCAGGGGAGACUGGAAUUCCUGGUGUAGCGGUGGAAUGCGCAGAUAUCAGGAGGAACACCGGUGGCGAAGGCGGUUCUCUGGGCCUUACCUGACACUGAGGAGCGAAAGCGUGGGGAGCGAACAGG
rnacentral:rRNA from 1 species